UAUUAUCAUUAUAUAUAUAUAUAAUAUUCUAUUAAUAUUGAUAUUACAACCCUGACUUCAUAGUUUGAGCUUUGAAUGCAGUGCAAUUUAAGAAAAUAUGAUAAUUUUUAUUCAAUAUAAUAAUAUGGCGAGAAAUUUACAAAUUACGCGUGGCAUAGAAUUGUACUUAAUAUGUUUGCGAUUAGUUUCUUUGUAAUCUAUACCAUUUGAUUAACACUUGAGUAUAAUUAUUUCUAUCGUGUAUAAGUUAAGAAGCUCCCAAUUGUGAUGCGCAUACUAUGUAUCCUUUACAGCUGUAACUUUUUACCAUAGGCCAUUAGUUAAAAUCUGACGAGCUCGCACUGUUGGACACUGUAAAAUCACCCGUCCGUGUGUUUCGCUUAGCAGAAUAAACUAUAUAUAUUUACAAGGCACACAUACCACGUUAUACACCUUCGUGCGACAUAGUAUUCCGAGCACAAUGUAACGUUGUAUCGUACGUACACUAUUAGAGAAAAUAGCUACAAGAGUCUACAAGCGUUCUUCACGAAAUUUCGUUUCUUAUGACUCUUCGUUUUGCCGCCACCCGGUCGGAGGAUUAUCGUUCCAUUACCGGCAUUACGGCCGCCGCACAUUGAUCCGUCUGGACUGAACGCACCUGUAAUAAAGUAAAGAAAACAUGCAACGUCAUCCGCAUUACGAAUGAAUAUUGUGUGGACUUUUACAAGUGGUAAUACGAGAUUAAAUCUAUUCGUACUAAUGACGGAAGGCGAUCUAGGCUCCGCGGAGUACAAUCUCAGGUCGUCCUGAUAAUCAUCGUCCGAGCGACGCAUCUCGUGCAGACAUCGCGAUGCCAAGUGCCGGAAGACGCUCAUCACGCCGAUAUCCUCCUUCACGGACGUCCGUAAAAGUUUGCAACCCAAGGCGCGGCCGAGUCUUUCGGCUUCGUCUCUGUAAUAUCCAAGUUUCUUUUACUUAUAGAUAGAAAUUUACAUUUUUUUCUUCCAACAUAUUUGAUUGAAACUUACGGAUCAAUCAUACAUUGUUCCACAAGAUCGAUCUUGUUUUGCACCAGGACCGUGGGAAUUUCUCCACAUUCAUUCUCUACCUGUAAAAGGAAAGUUUCAGAAAGAUUAUGCAAAGCGCUUCAUAGAUCAGUUGUUUUUCACAGAUUGUUUUUAAUCAUUUUCUUAAUUUUUUAAAUAAAUUUUCAUGCAUUAAUUUUGUUGUUCUCGUUUUUUUAGGGAGAGCUAAUUCAGAUGAAACUUCUUGUAGACUCGUACCUUGAGUUUCCACGAGGGAAUAGCGUCGAAGGAAUCCCUAUCGGUGGCCGAAUAAGCGAGGACGCAGGCAUGAGCACCGCGAUAGUAAGCCGCAGUGAUAGCGUCAAAUUCUUCCUGUCCUGCGGUAUCCCACAGCAUUAGUCUUACAUCCUCGCCGUCGACCCUGAAUGCAAAAAGUAAAACUAAGGAUAUUAAAAGAUGGAUCGCACACACGCAAUGAGACAAAAUUUCUUUCUACAUUGACCGACAUUACAUCGUCGAGUAUUUGGAGGGGAAUACAAGAAGUAUCCCACGGUAGCUUGCGCUGGCAUGAUUAAAAUCGAGUUUUUCUCAGGCACAUCGCUCUCGAACCCGUAUACCUACAUUGACGAUCGUUCGAUCGAGGAACGUGGCCCAAAUAAUUUGGUCAAAUAUACUUAUACGGCGUAAGAGAAGUGGGUUACGACGUGGAUAAAGAUGUAAGGAGCCCAUAAAAAAACCGGUCGCCAAGGGCAAUCUCCAGGCUUCCGUGUGGUUUAGGUCUUAAAAUUUCAAAUGACAUGUACGGCCCACGUCACGACAGGGAUCUCAUCAGGAAUGCUCGCGUGUACAGAAGAGAAGCUUGAGAGUUCAAUUUCACUCUUCCUUUACGAAAUCGUCGAUUUGUAUAUCGAAGGUCAUCUCGUCGAGAGAGUCUACGAACCCGCCUAUUCGUCAAAAGUUAUUCGAGUGAAGCGAAUUGCUCAUCGUUGGAAUAUGAGACCGGACAUUCGAAGAGAAGGUGAACGAAUAAAAAGAAAUAAAAUUGGCGAACUUGGCCUCGCCAAGUAGUAUAAGAUCCGCGCCGGCCUCCUCGCUUCACACUUUCUGCACAUGGAAUGAAAUAGAAAUAAUAAAUGUGGAUCCUUUCCGAAGGAGGAAGAGGCACGAGAACGAAGAAUGGCUGGAAAGAAUGAGAUUGAAAGGAAAUAGAAACGGAGUCUCGCGAUUACCUUGAGUGAUAUCUCGAGCUCUUCCUCCCGCAUUCUGCGACCGUAAAGGCGAUUAACAUAAUAUCCCACCGCAACACGGCUCCAUGAUCCUCGUACUCGCGCGAUGAUCGAUUGGGCGUGCGCUUGUGCUUGAAAUCAAAAGAAAGAAGUUGGAGAAAUGGUUUUAUAUCCAAAAAACGGCGCGAUAUUACAUGAGGAAAGCGAGGAAUAAAACGAGACCCUAGAGUCGUCUCGCUCACUUCCCCUCGCUAUUCUCGGUAUGUACCCGGAGUCGAUGACUUUGCGCCUCGGCCGAGUCAUUAUUCACACACAAGCGAGCGCACGAUGUACGUAUACGUAUCCGCGGCGUCGCGAGGCCCGCGCGCUUUUUCUUCUCCUACGAGCGCAACUUUCUUCGCGGGAAAAGUCUUCUCGCCUACGAGAAAAGAGAGAGAAGAAACGGAACGGAAACGCAGCCGGGCGCAGCUCUCUCGCGCGAGAAGACGGACGGAUCCGCAGGAGAGCUUUUCCUUCUCCGAUGGCACCAGGAACGGAGCACGCACGCACGCAUGCAUGCACGCACGCCAGGCAUGCACGCACGCACGCACGCACGAAUGCGCGCCGCUGACCACCACUGGCCGACUGAACGGCGCACCUGUGUACGGCAGGAGACACCUGUCGCCGACGCCGACGCGCGCCCGUAGGUCUGGUGAUUUUACAUGUAUGUCUAGUGAAUGUCGGAGUGCGAGACACUAGCAGCCAUGUCGGCCGCUCUCUCUUUUUUUUUCUUCACCUUCCCAAGUCGUUCAUAUAUGAGAGAAAUCUUUUAUUUUUAUUUCCUCCUGCAAAGAAGAAACACAAUUAUUA